rnacentral:tmRNA from 1 species
UUACUUUAAUUUUAGAAUCUUUCACUUAUAUUAAUUUGUGUUGGUUUUCCAACUAUGGUGAUAAACGAAAUUCGUAAUAAACAUUUCGGACCAGGGGGCGGUACCCUGC